CUUCCGGAUACUGUAUUUGAAGCAGUUGUUCGAAUUCCCUAUGAUCUGCAAGUGAAACAAGUUCUUGCUAAUGGUAAAAAAGGAGCUUUAAAUGUGGGGGCUGUUCUUAUUUUACCCGAGGGAUUUGAACUAGCCCCGCCCGAUCGUAUUUCGCCCGAGAUUAAAGAAAAGAUAGGAAAUCUGUCUUUUCAAAGUUACCGCCCUACUAAAAAAAAUAUUCUUGUGAUAGGUCCUGUUCCUGGUCAGAAAUAUAGUGAAAUCACCUUUCCUAUUCUUUCCCCGGACCCUGCUACUAAUAAAGAUGUUCACUUCUUAAAAUAUCCCAUAUACGUAGGCGGGAACAGAGGAAGGGGUCAGAUUUAUCCCGACGGGAGCAAGAGUAACAAUAAUGUUUAUAAUGCUACAGCAGCGGGUAUAAUAAGCAAAAUUAUACGAAAAGAAAAGGGGGGAGUACGAAAUAACCAUAGUGGAGGCAUCGGACGGGCGUCAAGUGGUUGAUAUUAUCCCUCCAGGGCCGGAACUUCUUGUUUCUGAGGGCGAAUCCAUCAAACUUAGAUCAACCAUUAACGAGUAAUCCUAAUGUGGGCGGAUUUGGUCAGGGGGAUGCAGAAGUAGUACUUCAAGAUCCAUUACGUGUCCAAGGCCUUUUGCUCUUCUUGGCAUCUGUUAUUUUGGCACAAAUCUUUUUGGUUCUUAAAAAGAAACAGUUUGAGAAGGUUCAGUUGGCCGAAAUGAAUUUCUAGAUCCGCGGAUUUUUCAACAUCAAACUAUAAAAAGAAAUAAACUUUUGUUGGCAAUUAUAUUAUGUAAUUGUGUAGGAUCAAAAAAAUUUUGUUUGUUUCUUUUUUCGGAUUUCGGGAAUUAUUUAUACUGGUCAUGAUGUGUAUAUUGUGAAGAAGACUAUUUUGAUUUUACUUAUCUUUUCUUUGUUUUUUCAAUCCAAAUCGAAGUGAUAUAGAAUGAAUCCGUAGUUUUAUAUUUUAUAUUUAAAUAGAAUCAAA